GUCCCACCACGAGAGUUUGUAACACCUGAAGUCGGUGAGGUAACCUUUUGGAGCCAGCCGCCUAAGGUGGGAUAGAUGAUUGGGGUGAAGUCGUAACAAGGUAGCCGUAUCGGAAGGUGCGGCUGGAUCACCUCCUUU
rnacentral:rRNA from 1 species